GAUGAACGCUAGCGGCUGGCUUAAUACAUGCAAGUCGAGGGGCAGCGCAGUGUAGCAAUACAUGGGCGGCGACCGGCAAACGGGUGCGGAACACGUACACAACCUUCCUACAAGUGGGGAAUAGCCCAGAGAAAUUUGGAUUAAUACCCCGUAACAUAGCGAUGUGGCAUCACAUUGCUAUUAUAGCUUCGGCGCUUGUUGAUGGGUGUGCGGCUGAUUAGAUAGUUGGCGGGGUAACGGCCCACCAAGUCUACGAUCAGUAGCUGAUGUGAGAGCAUGAUCAGCCACACGGGCACUGAGACACGGGCCCGACUCCUACGGGAGGCGGCAGUAAGGAAUAUUGGACAAUGGACGCAAGUCUGAUCCAGCCAUGCCGCGUGAAGGAUUAAGGUCCUCUGGAUUGUAAACUUCUUUUAUAAGGGACGAAAAAAGGUCUUUCUAGAUCGUCUGACGGUACCUUAUGAAUAAGCACCGGCUAACUCCGUGCCAGCAGCCGCCGUAACAC
rnacentral:rRNA from 1 species